CUGAGGUGGCUCAAAGAGGCACAGUCUUAUCUGUAAUUAUACGUUUAUAAUUACAUUUAGAUUUUAAAGUAAACAUUUUCAUGCAUUACUGUAAAUAGAUCGUGUGUUAUAGAGAAUAAGGCUGUCUCACACUGCUCUGCAGCCCAAAUUGCCAUAUUGAAAACAUGAGCUGUAAAUAGGGAGCUAUUGAAAUCAGUCAGUUACGGGCUAUUCAGUUUCAUAGAAUCAGAGAAUGGUUUGGGUUGGAAGGGGCCUUAAAACCCAUCCAUUUCAAUACCCUGCUGGGUACCCCACCAGCUGAGGCUGCCCAGAGCCCAUCCAACCCAGCCUUGAGCACCUCCAGGACAGAGCAUCACUGCCCUCUGAGUAGAGAACUUCUUCCUGCUAUGUAACCUAAAUCUUCCCUCCUUUAGUUCAAAUACAUUCCCCCUUGUCCUAUCACUAUCUGCCCAUGUAAAAAGUUGUUCCCCUUUAGACACUAAAACAAAGCCUAAAACCCUAUUCUGGCCCCAGAUUAAAGGCUAGGGCAAUUGAGAUAGAGAAGCAUUGUUUUUCAGUUGUAUUCACUUCUAAAAGUAACUAUAAUUCUGUGGAUCUGGGACACAAAGACUGUUCUCACCUGAAGGACCUCCAGUGCAGGAAGAGCACCUAGUGAGGGACAACCACGUACCAGAGGCACCUCAGCACGACUCUUAUGACAACACCAGGAGGCAGCAGGGACCAGCAGCACUGAUCUGCAGCUGGUACCAUGGCUCCUGACCUGCUGUGUUGAAACUGUGCAUCACUUAACAUAUGGUCCCAAAUGUAAUGCUGAGACUCCCACCAGCAAGGAGAACCUGAGGACACAGAAAGCACUGCUGAUGGAGCAGCAUCCACCAGGGUCUGGCUGGGGUGCAAUGGGCACCAAUGGGCUGCAGAGGAGGUGAGCGUUAGGCCAGAACAAAGGAAAGCAUCGAUCUGAGUAUUGCACAGUGCUAGAGAGGAAAAGAGCAACCUCUCUUUAGGAGGGCAGCUUCUAUAAGCUUAUCUGUCACCAACCACUGCAUUUUGCAGUUUGGACUGUGAGGUGCCUUGCAGUCACACACAGCUGCUCGUUAACUGCACAGACAUCACACUGUAAUGAGCCUGUGAUUCUUGGAUUGCCUUGAGAAUAAUUCUUGCCUUCGAAGACCUGAGAGGCUGUGGAUCUUAGCAUUUGCUCUAAUUGCUGUUAACUUCAGAUCUGUUUUAAUGAGCAUGGCAGUAGUAGCUACAAAGAAAACCCUCUACCAAAAUGUCAGUAAUUGAAAAAAAUCAGAAGUCUUCAUCUAUGCAGAGAGACUUGAACAUGUGUGGAGCUUUUAGGUUCUUGGUUUAAAGAAGUGUAAUCCCAGAGAGAGAAGGUGUUCUGCAAAACAGCAAGCAGACUGUGCAAAUCGCUUUCUGAUGGAUUUCUGGAGGUCCUAAACGAUUGUUAGUCUAAUCUGGUUUAAUUCUUAGAGUUAUCGAAUCAUUAAGGGUGGCAAAGACCACUAAGACCAUCAAGUCCAACCCAUC
rnacentral:lncRNA from 1 species